UACGAAGGGGGCUAGCGUUGCUCGGAAUCACUGGGCGUAAAGGGUGCGUAGGCGGGUUUUUAAGUCAGGGGUGAAAUCCUGGAGCUCAACUCCAGAACUGCCUUUGAUACUGGCGAGCUUGAGUCCGGGAGAGGUGAGUGGAACUGCGAAGUGUAGAGGUGAAAUUCGUAGAUAUUCGCAAGAACACCAGUGGCGAAGGCGGCUCACUGGCCCGGUACUGACGCUGAGGUGCGAAAGCGUGGGGAGCAAACAGGG
rnacentral:rRNA from 1 species